UGGGGAAUAUUGCGCAAUGGGGGAAACCCUGACGCAGCGACGCCGCGUGCGGGAUGAAGGCCUUCGGGUUGUAAACCGCUUUUGAUUGGGAGCAAGCCUUUUGGGUGAGUGUACCUUUCGAAUAAGGACCGGCUAAUUCCGUGCCAGCAGCCGCGGUAAUACGGAAGGUCCGGGCGUUAUCCGGAUUUAUUGGGUUUAAAGGGAGCGUAGGCUGUCUAUUAAGCGUGUUGUGAAAUAUACCGGCUCAACCGGUGGCUUGCAGCGCGAACUGGUGGACUUGAGUAUGCAGGAAGUAGGCGGAAUUCAUGGUGUAGCGGUGAAAUGCUUAGAUAUCAUGACGAACUCCGAUUGCGCAGGCAGCUUACUGUAGCAUAACUGACGCUGAUGCUCGAAAGUGCGGGUAUCAAACAGG
rnacentral:rRNA from 1 species